CCUUCCCUCUUUCUUUCCUGUGAACUCCAAACCUGAACCCUCGCUCUUUCUUUCCCUCUUUAUUUCCGAGUUGUGAUAAAUCUGGAACCCUCCCUCCUUGAACCCUCCUUCUUUCCCCUUCUUUCGAACCCAAUCUGGAACCCUCAAUUCCCUGUACACCCCAAAUCUCCCUCUCUUUCUUUCCCUCUUUCUUUCCACGCAAACCCCAAUCUGGAACCCUCCUUGAACCCCUCUGUCUUUCCCUGUAGACCCCAAAUCCUGUCGAAUCAAAUCCCAAAUUCAAGGGCCAUACAAGUUGUCGCACAAGCUACCGCUAAAUGCUCUGAUUAUAUCUUUCAAGCUCUCAAACCAAGCGAGUCAACCACUGCCAGCACUCUUGUUGCUUAGGUUGGUUUUGCAACUUGCUACCGCUCUGUGAUUAGCUUGGGUUGAUGAGGUAUGCUUCGGAAAGCUAAAAAGGAAGAUGGUGGUAUUGCCGAUUUGGGGUUUUAGUGACUAAUCAGACUUGUCCAAGUUGGGGUUUUGCCGAAAUUCAAUGAUUUUGAUAUACUUGUGGCCAACCCUAGAA